GCUGGAGAGAAUGAGCUUGGAGCCGCAGGGCUUAAUCCCGCGCGGCUCAGAGAUGGGUUUCUGGACUCGCGAAGCAGCUGCAACAAGGCAUCACUCACUGUAUAAGUAUUUCCAUUUCUGAGAGCAAAAGGAAGAACUUAAGCGGGCGGCACUUGGAGUGUAAAUUGCUUUGUAGUAUUUAAAGGCAGAAUGGAUCCUGGGCAGCCGAGCUGGUACGUGCAACAGAAACUACUCAAUGGAAUUGUUCUGGGUAGGACUGGUCUGAUCGUCCUUUGUGUACCAAACGUUGUGUGUCCUGGAUUGCGCCUAUGUGUAUACACCCAUUUCAUGUUCACCAGGAUCAUGGGGACUUGGGAGUCACAAUCUUUCAUUUUUCCAAAAUGAUACAAUAAAAGCUUUACGGAACAUUGUUUAUUAAUAGAAAUGUGACCCGAGUCACAGUCUUAAGAAACACAUGAUAAUGAUAGAAAAAUACUUUUAUGUUUCUUUGUUAGAGAAAAAGAAAGUAAACCUAAACUGUAUCACUGUGCAGUGUUACUAGAUAUGACUUAAAAGACAAUGGCAAAAAAUGUUUGACUGCCGUGGAGUAGACUUUUACCUGUAGGUGUAGACUUAAACACACCUGUAAUAUAUCAGUGUUUUCAAAUCUAUGUGCCAGAAAAAAACAUGGUGUAGCUAUGAAAACACUAGUUAUGAAAAAUGCAUGUCAUGCAUAUGUACAUUUUGUUUUGUAAAUGUGUGUUGUGUAUAUACACAUGUAUAUGUGACCUAGAUGCAGAAUUAUUAUCGUAUGAUUACAAAUAGACAUGUGCUGAAUAUAGAUGAAUUUCUGCACCUUCAUACAUUGUAUGUCUAUCUGGAUAACUUAGUAUGCAGAUCCAUUACCACAAUAUUAAAUCUGAAUUUAAAAGAA
ensembl:lncRNA LINC01322 long intergenic non-protein coding RNA 1322